AUGGUCCCACUGGUUUUGAAUAGGCAGUGCGUCGACCUGGGUCAGACGGACCUGACUCGUAACUUUUACUCAGGCACUGACACUGCUGACGAGUGCACAGAGUAUUUUCAGACGAAUGGUUCAGAAAGUCUCAGAAUCAAAGGGAAACUUCAAGGGUUCAUGGGAAGGAAAUCCAGAGACAGUUUGUUUCCUGAGUGGCCUUCCCUCUUUUCUCUGGACUCUCCAUCUUCCCUCCGUUCCUCUGUGGGAUGAAUUAUUUAGCCGUUCUCCUCAGAGUAUCUCUGCCCUCCUCCCUCUCUCUCCAUCGCUCUCUGUGUCUCUGCUCGGCCAGGCGUCCUGAGCUGCAGCCAAGGACAGAUGCAGAGCUGUGAUGGGAGGUUCGUUCUGCAGCAGCGAGGCAGAGAGAGAGCCAAAGAAACAUUUUAUUACUCAGAACACUGAAGAGGGAAACGGGAUCUAUUGAUUGAGGUCUCCUCUGAUGGACGUUUUAGGGUCUACAGGUCUGGAAAAAAAACCUUAAAAACUAAAAAAGAAUGCUUUAUUAAACGUACAAUAUGUCUUUUAAUAAAGAACUGCUGAUUAAAACCAGUAAAAACACUGAAUAAAGCAGUUCAACCUUAAAUAAAAACNNNNNNNNNNNNNNNNNNNNNNNNNNNNNNNNNNNNNNNNNNNNNNNNNNNNNNNNNNNNGGUCUCUGUCAGAUUCCAGCUGUGGUUCAGUGUAAACCCAGAUGUUUCAGAUGUGGAGGGUUUGUUUGUUUCUGGUGUUGAAAGUUGGAAUCCAGAUCUGGGUUAUUGUAGCAGUUAUUAUAUAUAUAUAUAUAUAUUAUGUUAGUCUGUGUUAGAGGAAAGCUGUAGUCAGUAGACCUUUUUCACUGCAGCCAGUAGGGUAAACUCCGCUGUUACUAAGGUUCCAUUCAGGUCAAGCUGGAAAAGCUCUGCUACACUAAAUGGAACAGAGCCUCAAUUAGUAUCAUUAGUUACACCUGUGUUUACCCUACUGUCUUGUGUCAAAAUGGCUGCUGUGAAAAAGGUCUCUUCAGAAAGCAGCUGUGGUGAAAUCAGCCGAUAAUCGCUGAGCUUUUAUUGUCGGGAAUGUGACUGCGGUUGUUUGUAAACACAGAAUAAACAAAUAAACACAACCAAAACAACAACACAAACACGUACAGUAUAUAGCUCGCAGUGGCGUCUUCAACCGUCUGUUGAGUUCAACUUUUUAAUCUCUAAGCUGACAGUUCGAUUCUUUGUUGACGAUAUUUGAGGGAACCGCGCCGUCUGUCACGUGUUUCUGGCGCCAAAUAAACAGACGAGACGUGUGAAUGUGUUUGUGGAGCGUUGUUAGAUAAACUGUUGGUUCAGUUUAAUGGUUCGUCCUCGUCAGCCUGUAGAAACUGUUGAGUAAUAUCUGCAUUAUGAAUAAUAGUAAUAAUAAUGAGCGUCCUGCUUUAACUUUAUCUGAUCACUCACUUGGUUUCUGACGUCCACAUAAAAAGUUUAAAUUUACAGUUUGUUUGUGUUUGUUAGCCUAAGCUAGCUAACAAGUUAGCAACAAUUUUAGUAGAUUGUUUAUUGAUCUCUGAUCGUAUCUGUCUCAACAUUUUACCUGGAGAACGACUCAAAGCUCUUUCACACAUUCACACAUUGAUGGAUGAGCCCCCCCCNNNNNNNNNNNNNNNNNNNNCUCUACACUUA
rnacentral:lncRNA from 15 species